rnacentral:rRNA from 1 species
GAGUAAAGAUUUCGGUCGCUUUGGGAGGAGCUCGCUUACUAUCAGCUUGUUGGUAGGGUAAUGGCCUACCAAGGCUAUGACGGUUAGGGGGUGUGAGAGCAUGACCCCCAGCAUUGGCACUGAAACACUGGCCAAACACCUACGGGUGGCUGCAGUCGAGAAUCUUCCACAAUGGGGGAAACCCUGAUGGAGCGAUGCUGCGUGCGGGAUGAAGGCCUUCGGGUUGUAAACCGCUUUUGUAGGGGACGAAAUUUUUGACGGUACCCUUUCGAAUAAGAGGUUGCUAACUCUGUGCCAGCAGCAGCGGUAAUACAGAGACCUCGAGCGUUAUCCGGAUUUACUGGGCGUAAAGCGUCUGUAGGGGGUUUAUUAAGUUCCAAGUAAAAUUUCGAGGCUCAACUUUGAAUUCGCUUGGAAAACUAAUAAACUGGAGUCUAGCAGAGGUGCAUGGAACUUGUGGUGUAGGAGUGAAAUCCGUUGAUAUCACAAGGAACACCAAAGGCGAAGGCAUUGCACUGGGCUAGCACUGACCCUGAGAGACGAAAGCGUGGGGAGCAAAACGGAUUAGAUACCCGAUUAGUCCACGCCCUAAACGAUGAAUGCUAAAUGUUCGGGGAUUCGACCCCCUGGGUGUUACAGCUAACGCGUUAAGCAUUCCGCCUGGGAAGUACGGCCGCAAGGCUAAAACUCAAAGGAAUAGACGGGGAUCCGCACAAGCGGUGGAGCGUCUGGUUUAAUUCGACAGUAAGCGUGGUACCUCACCAGGGUUUGACAUCCCUUGACAGCCUUGGAAACAAGGUUUCCUUCGGGCAAGGUGACAGGUGCUGCAUGGUCGUCGUCAGUUCGUGCCGUGAGGUGUUCCGUUAAGUCGGGAAACGAACGAAACCCGUAGUGGCAUGUUACAAUUUCUCAUGCAAGACUGCCCGGAUACCCUGGGAGCAAGGUGGGGAUGACGUCAGAUCUGCAUGGUCUUUAUACCCUGGGCGACACAGGCGCUACAAUGGCAGAGACAAAGGGUUGCAAAACCGCAAGGUGAAGCUAAUCCCAAAAACUUUGUCUAAGUUCGGAUUGAAGGCUGCAAUUCGCCUUCAUGAAGCUGGAAUCGCUAGUAAUCCUCGCAUCCCCCACGUCACGGUGAAUAUGUUCCCGGAUCUUGUACUCACCGCCCGUCACACCAAGAGAGUUGGUAGC